AUUGAAUGCUGGCGGCAGGCCUAACACAUGCAAGUCGAGCGAGCGGCGGACGGGUGAGUAAUGACUGGGAAACUGCCUGAUGGAGGGGGAUAACUACUGGAAACGGUAGCUAAUAACGCAUACCAUCAGAUGUGCCCAGUUGGGAUUAGCUAGUAGGUGGGGUAACGGCUCACCUAGGCGACGCUCCCUACCUGGUCUGAGAGGAUGACCAGCCACACUGGAACUGAGGCACGUUCCAGACUCCUACGGGAGUCAGCAGUGGGGAAUGUUGCACAAGGUGCGCAAGCCUGAUGCAGCCAUGCCGCGUGUGUUAAGAAGGCCUUCGGGUUGUAAAGCACUUUCAGCGGGGAGGCGUUACCCGCAAGAGAAGCACCGGCUAAGUCCGUGCCAGCAGGGGCGGUAAUAC
rnacentral:rRNA from 1 species